rnacentral:rRNA from 1 species
UACGUAGGUGGCGAGCGUUGUCCGGAUUUACUGGGCGUAAAGAGCGCGCAGGCGGUCGUUCAAGUCGCGUGUGAAAGCCCCCGGCUCAACUGGGGAGGGUCACGCGAUACUGAUCGACUCGAAGGCAGGAGAGGGAAGUGGAAUUCCCGGUGUAGUGGUGAAGUGCGUAGAUAUCGGGAGGAACACCAGCGGCGAAGGCGACUUCCUGGCCUGUUCUUGACGCUGAGGCGCGAAAGCUAGGGUAGCAAACGGG